AAAAGAGAACCAGAAAAGAAAAAGAAAAAAAAUUAACAUGCAUCACGCGCUUCCUGAACUGGGCCGGCCUAAUACCGGUCAUCCUGUGCCACGUCGACAAUCCUUAUUUAGAAAAUGACCCAAAGGUUUGAUUUAGACCGGAAUUACAUAGUUUAGGGUACAAUCGACCGGAAUUUUGACUUGAGGAUUCAUUGUGUCGGACCUCUACCAAAUCAGGGUUUAAAAUGGACUUUAUGCUAAUGAGCCUGGUAUGAUUUGAGUCAAUGGCACGACCCUAGAUACAAUACUGAAUUACCUACCACUACCGUUUACGACUCCUCAUAGGACAAGCCAGCAAGAAGCGACACCGGAAUGAAGAAUGCACACAUGUAGACUCGCUCGAUGCCGUUGUUCCCUUGUUUGUUUUCGACGAAGACGACGAUGAAGUGUCAGCGUACCUCCACUGGCACUGACAAGCCCUAAAGCUAAAGACGGUGAGGAGGCCGAGGGAGCUGGUGAUUAAGCCCAGAAGAUGAAUUCACCAGAGAAGAGGCUCAAGUCGAUCCGGCCCAAGAACUUGCCUGAGUGGCUCGCAGGUCCAUACUAGGUCCAUUAAACGGUUGUAACGCGGCUUCGCUAUUUAAUCAUCACGGCUCACGCGGACCAAGUGGCAGCGGACUGGCGGCUUUGUUGUGGCAUGUUUGGAUAGGGUAGCGACAGGAGAGAAGAGAGGAGAGGAUGAAUACCCUUGUAAUUUGAAUCUUAUGCCACUAUUUUCCCAGAAUAAUCAUAUCUAGUUGUGAGAUCCGAGUUCCUCGCAUGAAGGCUCGCGCAAAACGCAAUCCAGCAUGGGGUGGUGAUGUCUAGCGUGGGUUCCAGCGUGGGGCAGGUGGCGAUCGAAAACCAGCUGAUCGAUGGUCGUCGUCACGUUCCACGACACAUGCGGAGCCUAAAGCUCUAGUUCCUAGGUCAUUCCUCCUCGUCUCGCUCGAACUUCGGACGUGCUUUGCAAGGCAGUCGGAACUACAAAGAGGCAGCAUAGUACCUGAUUGACAAUUCCCUAUGCCUUCUAAGCCUAUUAAAUUUGAAAUCAUUAUUAUUGUACAGAGACGCGGCACAUAAAAUACACCAAAUGGCAUUGGAUAAUCCAAAACAGAGAAUGAAAAUGAGAAAUAAGGUGGUAUUUCUUAUGUUUUACUCGGGUGCUCCUUAUAAAGGGCUCGGCUGGUAGGAGCCGAUAUGAAUUAUUUUGUCCUUUAUUUAGUCAAUUUAUGAGAAUCUCUUAGUCCUCUGGUUGGUCGGCAACUAUGAGAACUUUAUCCAUCCUUUACACCAAAACAAUGCUCUGGGCCAAUACAAAAGUUCUUGUAAGAAAGUUUGUGAAAGAAAAACGUAUUUUUGGUAUCACGUUGGAACAUGGUUGAAGCAUCUAUCUCCAAUGUCCAAUGAAAGAUUUGUUCACAACACAUGAUCAAACAAUGCCGACAUAACAAGGACAUCAUCUCCCCUACUAAGGUAUCUCCAACGCAAAUCCCUAAAACAAACACCUAGAGCGUGUUUGCUGAUACGAAGCCGGCCACCCAACCAUUAUUGCAUACACUUCAAACCAGGUUUUAACAAACCGGAUGAUUUUCAUGUAACCAAAUCAUUUUCACUUAUACCAGAGAAAACUCAUUAUAUUUAGAUAUAUUUACUAAACAAAAGCAUCCGAAAGUUAACCUAGUCUAAAUCUUCAUCAGUGGUCGUGAGCCCCAUAAACCAUCCAGCCUCCACGCCCUUGUUGUUCCCCUCAGUGUCGAUGUUCGGCGGCCCUGAGCCCUGGGAUG
rnacentral:lncRNA from 1 species